rnacentral:rRNA from 1 species
GAUAGGGCGAGUGAUUUAGCGGCCGCGAUUCGCCUUGUGCCAGCAGCCGCGGUAAUUCCAGCUCCAAUAGCGUAUAUUAAAGUUGUUGUGGUUAAAAAGCUCGUAGUUGAACCUUGGGCCUGGCUGGCCGGACCGCCUCACCGCGUGCACUGGUCCGGCCGGGCCUUUCCCUCUGUGGAACCCCAUACCCUUCACUGGGCGUGGAGGGGAAACAGGACAUUUACUUUGAAAAAAUUAGAGUGCUCCAGGCAGGCCUAUGCUCGAAUACAUUAGCAUGGAAUAAUAAAAUAGGACGCGCGGUUCUAUUUUGUUGGUUUAUAGGACCGCCGUAAUGGUUAAUAGGGACAGUCGGGGGCAUCAGUAUUCAACUGUCAGAGGUGAAAUUCUUGGAUCAGUUGAAGACUAACUACUGCGAAAGCAUUUGCCAAGGAUGUUUUCAUUAAUCAGGAACGAAAGUUAGGGGAUCGAAGACGAUCAGAUACCGUCGUAGUCUUAACCAUAAACUAUGCCGACUAGGGAUCGGACGGUGUUAUUCAUGACCCGUUCGGCACCUUACGAGAAAUCAAAGUGCUUGGGCUCUAGGGGGAGUAUGGUCGCAAGGCUGAAAACUUAAAAGAAAUUGACGGAACGGCACCACCAGGGGUGGAGCCUGCUGCUUUAUUUUGACUCAACACGGGGAAACUCACCAGGUCCAGAACACAAUAAGGAUUUGACAGAUUGAGAGCUCUUUUCUUGAAUUUUGUGGGAGGCGGGGCAUGGCCGUUCUUAGGUUGGGGGGGGUGACUUGUCUGCUAAAUGCGAAUACGACGAGACUUAACCUUGCUAAUAGCCCGCAAUUGUCCCGCAGUGCGUUGGCUUCUUAGAGGGGACUUUGCGCCU